rnacentral:pre_miRNA from 1 species
CAGUGCUGGGAGCUCAGGAGGCAGCACUCUUGGGGAAUAACCACUAUGGCCAGGGUUCUGCUUGUCCUUGCUUUCCUUACUCAGGGAACAGGUGA